rnacentral:rRNA from 1 species
ACUCCUACGGGAGGCAGCAGUGGGGAAUUUUGGACAAUGGGCGAAAGCCUGAUCCAGCAAUGCCGCGUGUGUGAAGAAGGCCUUCGGGUUGUAAAGCACUUUUGUCCGGAAAGAAAUCCUUGGCUCUAAUACAGUCGAGGGAUGACGGUACCGGAAGAAUAAGCACCGGCUAACUACGUGCCAGCAGCCGCGGUAAUACGUAGGGUGCGAGCGUUAAUCGGAAUUACUGGGCGUAAAGCGUGCGCAGGCGGUUUGCUAAGACCGAUGUGAAAUCCCCGGGCUCAACCUGGGAACUGCAUUGGUGACUGGCAGGCUAGAGUAUGGCAGAGGGGGGUAGAAUUCCACGUGUAGCAGUGAAAUGCGUAGAGAUGUGGAGGAAUACCGAUGGCGAAGGCAGCCCCCUGGGCCAAUACUGACGCUCAUGCACGAAAGCGUGGUGAGCAAACAGUAUUAGAAACCCCGGUAGUCCCAUG